CUGAGAACUAAUGAAAAUAAAUGCAAAUACAGUGACUUUUCCCUCACUGCGCUCCCAUUAAGCCUUCAGCUAUUCUGACAUAAUUUGUUUCUCUUUUACCGUCUGUGUUUUUACAGGCUGUGCAUGGAGACCAGAGCUUCCAUACUGCAGGAGGACACACACAGGAACAGCCCAGAAGGGAGCAACCCAAAAUCCAAAAAAGUGCCGCUGGGUGGAUUUCAAACGAAUCCUUUUGUCUGGCACCAGUUCCUGGGUCUGUGUAUGCAUAUAGUCUGACUUUCAUCUUUUGUGGUUGCCGUGGCGAUAGCAACACAAACAUCUCCAAAGGAUGAGCUACUUCCCUUGGAAGAGGAGCAUCUUACUGUGCACAUCAGGACUGCAGAAAUGUUUAAUGCAAUUUUGACCACAUGGUAAACUAGUUUGGUGGGUCAUAAAGCACAAAUCACCAUCUGGGUCCAAGGUCACGUCAGUUCCAUUGAGGGAACAUUUUAUUUUAUUCUUUUCCAUUCUGAGGACUAGUUUGUUUCUCACUCAGGCCAAAUCGGGGGUAUAACUUAUAAAGAGUAUCUGGCAAUCUAAAGAACUAUUUAUAGACUAAGUAGAAUAUUUACUGCCAAAAGAAGUUUCUCCUCAGAUUCAG
rnacentral:lncRNA from 1 species